CUGUGACGUCAGCAGCAGAGAGCAAAGAUGGCGGCGGUGACCAGAGGCUCCUUCGCUGUUCUCAGACGGCUGGAACAACUGUGCUCCUUGGAGUGUCUCUUUGUCAGCUAACUGGCUAGCUUGCGUGGAGCUGAAAGUGCUCCGACCCAGAGAGAGCCUUCUACUCCAAAAUGUUCCCUAUAGUGACCAGGAAGAAGUCAGGACAGACCACCUGAUUGCACCUUUUUCACCAAAAGGAGACUUCCUAUCAUCCAGUAUCUCCUGUCUGCAUUUGAAAGGAUUUAACCCAAAACUAAGUUCCAGCUUGUUUAGGCCCUUCUGAACAAAGACCAGUUUAAAGAUCAUUACUGCAUGGAGAUAUGUACCUAUAUGUAUCUACUGUUCUGCUUUCAGAAACCUGGGCUGUAAACUGGAUGCUCUAAUUUCAUGUACAGUAUUUCGUCAGAUGUAAUUUAAAUGUUUUCAUUUGA